rnacentral:rRNA from 1 species
ACGUACACUCCUGCGGGAGGCAGCAGUGGGGAAUAUUGCACAAUGGGCGCAAGCCUGAUGCAGCCAUGCCGCGUGUAUGAAGAAGGCCUUCGGGUUGUAAAGUACUUUCAGCGGGGAGGAAGGCGAUAAGGUUAAUAACCUUGUCGAUUGACGUUACCCGCAGAAGAAGCACCGGCUAACUCCGUGCCAGCAGCCGCGGUAAUACGGAGGGUGCAAGCGUUAAUCGGAAUUACUGGGCGUAAAGCGCACGCAGGCGGUCUGUCAAGUCGGAUGUGAAAUCCCCAGGCUCAACCUGGGAACUGCAUUCGAAACUGGCAGGCUAGAGUCUUGUAGAGGGGGGUAGAAUUCCAGGUGUAGCGGUGAAAUGCGUAGAGAUCUGGAGGAAUACCGGUGGCGAAGGCGGCCCCCUGGACAAAGACUGACGCUCAGGUGCGAAAGCGUGGGGAGCAAACAGGAUUAGAAACCCCAGUAGUCC